rnacentral:misc_RNA from 1 species
GAUGAAGAACGCAGCGAAAUGCGAUAAGUAAUGUGAAUUGCAGAAUUCAGUGAAUCAUCGAAUCUUUGAACGCACAUUGCGCCCGCCAGCAUUCUGGCGGGCAUGCCUGUUCGAGCGUCAUUUCAACCCUCGACUUCCCUUUGGGGAAAUCGGCGUUGGGGACCGGCUGUAUACCGCCGGCCCCGAAAUGAAGUGGCGGCCCGUCCGCGGCGACCUCUGCGUAGUAAUCCAACUCGCACCGGAACCCCGACGUGGCCACGCCGUAAAACCCCCGACUUCUGAACGUUGACCUCGGAUCAGGUAGGAAUACCCGCUGAACUUAAGAAUAUCAAUAAGCGGAGGA